rnacentral:rRNA from 1 species
CCGAGUUAUCCAACUCCCAACCCCUGUGAAUCAUACCUUUAAUUGUUGCUUCGGCGGGACUUCGCGCCCGCCGGGGACCCAAACCUUCUGAAUUUUUUAAUAAGUAUCUCCUGAGUGGUUAAAAAAAAUGAAUCAAAACUUUCAACAACGGAUCUCUUGGUUCUGGCAUCGAUGAAGAACGCAGCGAAAUGCGAUAAGUAAUGUGAAUUGCAGAAUUCAGUGAAUCAUCGAAUCUUUGAACGCACAUUGCGCCCGUCAGUAUUCUGGCGGGCAUGCCUGUUCGAGCGUCAUUACGCCCCUCAAGUCCCCUGUGGACUUGGUGUUGGGGAUCGGCGAGGCUGGUUUUCCAGCACAGCCGUCCCUUAAAUUAAUUGGCGGUCUCGCCGUGGCCCUCCUCUGCGCAGUAGUAAAGCACUCGCAACAGGAGCCCGGCGCGGUCCACUGCCGUAAAACCCCCCAACUUUUUAUAG